rnacentral:lncRNA from 1 species
GUGACGCACACAGGGAUUCCAAGGGUCUAGAUAAAACGGAGGAUUAUGGGGAAGCACCCAUCCACCAGCUGGUGGCACAUGAAAAGAUGAAGAGACAUGGCAGAGAGAAGCAACUUGCCUAAAGUCACACAGCUGCCUCAGAGACCAGACCAUGCAGACAGGGUUGGUUGGCUGUCCACUCAACGAGCUCAAUCUCUUCCUCCUUGCUGGAUGAUCUGUGAUUGUAUUCUGAUGCCCAGGAAAGCAAUCUCUUCAUAGCCCCAAGUGGCAAAUGUGCAUGUCAGGUCAACCUGGUAAUUCCAAGCCCCUUGCCACUGAUGGCUUCAGCUUCACCAUGGACACAUACUGCCAUCUUGGUCAAUGUAGCAGCUGAAGGGGGAGGGGUUUCUGAAAAAGAUUUUUGUUCCUGAUAAAAAUCAAUCCAUGUGGAGAAACUGCCCGUUUGACUAUAGGGCCAGAGUCACACUGUAAUCUCUGAAGGGAACAGACUUGC